rnacentral:lncRNA from 1 species
AUGACUUUAGAGAAUAUGAAAGGUAUUGAGAAGUCUAAGAGAGAUUUAAGAGAGAUUAGAGUGUUUAAGAGAAAGUGUAUGAGAUUAUCAUGAUGAACUAGAGAGAGAGAGACUCAUAAACUCAUGUAUAUCAUUAAUCAAGCAGAUUACAAGUUAUAUAGUAAGGGAGAGAGACACUAGGUUAAACAUUAGGGAAAGCAUAAGCAUGUGGAGUCAAAGGGGAAGAGGAGCGUCCAUUUGAAAGGAUCCAAUGGGAGAGCUUACACGCUUUGGUAUCUUGGCAUCUAAGACCAAGAUGCUGUUUGCUUUACAGCCUGGAACAGCUAGAGACGCGCUGGUCUUCUUCCCUUAACGGACUGAUCAGGAUAAGGCUGUAACAAGGUUAAUCUCUCACGGUAACUCCACUUGGGUAACUUUAGGAUGAUUCUCUUAUAGGAUGAUCCCCUUUCCCUAAGUGUACGGCCUCACUUGUACGGCCUUGGCUUGUACGGACAUCCCUCAUGUACUGAUUCCUUAUUCAGAAUCCUCUCAUCCCUUCAUGCCUUCACCUUGAUGUCUCUUCUCUCCUUUUAUUUAACACUCCCCCUCAAGCUUAGACUCUUGCAAAGCUAAGCUUGGAAAGGCCAUGAGAUCUUCCUCAUUAAAAACCUCAUCAAAGAAAACCCAUUGGGACAAAACUUUGAUGAGGGAAAAAGAGUGAAGAACUCAUGGCUAAGGGGACUCAGCCACUUGGUGUGAGAUCCAGGAGUCCUAGCCUGAUGUGAAUGGACUCCAUGGUCUUCUGUCUCGCGGCUUUGGUAAAGACAUCAGCUAACUGAUCCUCACUCCUUGUAUAGCAUGGCAAGAUUACUCCCAAGACAAUC